rnacentral:rRNA from 1 species
GAUUAACGCUGGCGGCGUGCUUAAUGCAUGCAAGUCGAACGGUCCUUCCCGUAAGGGAAGGACAGUGGCGAACGGGUGAGUAACGCGUAAGUAACCUGCCCCUAAGUGGGGGAUAACUUCGGGAAACUGGAGCUAAUACCGCAUGUGAUCCUUCCAUACAAGUGGAAGGAUUAAAGCCCUCGGGCGCUUGGGGAGUGGCUUGCGUCCGAUUAGCUUGUUGGUGGGGUAAUGGCCCACCAAGGCAAUGAUCGGUAGCUGGUCUGAGAGGAUGGCCAGCCACACUGGGACUGAGACACGGCCCAGACUCCUACGGGAGGCAGCAGCAAGGAAUAUUGUGCAAUGGGCGAAAGCCUGACACAGCGACACCGCGUGGGGGAUGAAGGCCUUCGGGUCGUAAACCCCUUUUCCCAGAGAAGAAAAAUGACGGUACCUGGGGAAUAAGUCUUGGCUAACUACGUGCCAGCAGCCGCGGUAAGACGUAGAAGGCAAGCGUUAUCCGGAUUUAUUGGGCGUAAAGAGGGUGUAGGCGGUUCUUCAGGUCGGAUGUAAAAUCUCCCGGCUCAACUGGGAGGGAUCAUUCGAUACUGUUGGGCUAGAGUGCAGCAGGGGGAGAUGGAAUUCCCGGUGUAGUGGUGAAAUGCGUAGAUAUCGGGAGGAACACCAGUGGCGAAGGCGGUCUCCUGGGCUGUUACUGACGCUGAGACCCGAAGGCGUGGGGAGCGAACAGGAUUAGAUACCCUGGUAGUCCACGCAGUAAACGAUGGACACUAGGUAUGGGGGGUAUCGACCCCCUCCGUGCCGAAGUUAACGCUUUAAGUGUCCCGCCUGGGGAGUACGGUCGCAAGACUA